UGACUGCGACUGUCUCAUAAAAUCAUGUCAGGGAGAGUUCCCAUUGUGGCUCAGUGCUUAACGAACCCAACAAGCAUCCAUGAGGAUGCGGGUUCGAUCCCUGACCUCACUCAUGAGGCCAGCGAUCGAACCCACAUCCUCAUGGAUACUUGUCAGGUUUGUGAACCACAAUGGGAACUCCAAAAUAAUUUUUUUUUGCAGGUAUAGUUGAUUUACAAUGUGGUGUUAACUUCAGGUGUGCAGCAAAGUGAUUCAGUUAUACACAUACAUAUAAACCUGUUUUUCUCAGAUUCUUUCCCUUCUAGAUUAUUACAAAGGAUUAAGAAAGCUUUUUCUUCUGCGAUGGCGCCUCAGUUGUCUCAUCUAUAAACGGGGGGUAAAAACAACAACCUCCUUGCCUCCCUCCCUGGGCCGCUUGGUUGCUUCAGGCAUCUCAUGAAUGUGAGCAGCCUUUGCACGUCUUAAAAUGAACAAGCAAAGCCUCUGUGCCUAUGUGGCCAUUUUAACACUGAAUCCUGAAGCCUAUUUGAGGCGAUUUCCUUCCUGUAUUGGGGGAGCUGCGGGGAGGGUCUUCUCCCCAGAUCUGAAACUCUGUACCUCUCGAAGGUCUGUGUGCAGUGAAACUUUGCACAGGCAUUGAGAGUGGCAGCAGCUCCUCAAAAUCCCCUUUUCCAGUUCAAAGAUUUGUUAUAUUAGGAAUUUGAUCUGGUUUGUGAUCAUUGGCACCUGAGUAUCUAUAAAACACAGCAGCGGCCGGUGUCUAUGAAUUGGCAGUUUGGGGUGUGCGUGCAUGCCACCGUGUGUGUGUAUGUGUGUCUGUGUCUGUGUGUGUGUGUGUGUGUGUGUGAUGUAUAUCUGAGUCAGGCAGAACCGUUUACAUAUUCCCAACCCAUGUUAACAGAAUGUUCUUCCCUGAACAUCACGUUUCUGAAAAUUCCCAAAUCUUUCCCUCUGAAAGGCAACAGUAUUGUUAUUAAAAUGGUUCUGUUUAAAGAACACUUUGGUCAACUUUAUUUCCUUUUAACGACAUGCUCAUUUUAAAGGUCACGGUGUUGAGUGGCGAGAGUAGUGACCUAAGAAUAACCUUUCCCUGCUACCUGCGUUUCUGAUCCGUGGCGUUAGCAUUCGGAAAUGCUCUUUCCUUUCGAGUUUCAGCAGCUAAAUAAGUUGCAGCCCCUUCAGCUAUACUCAUAAAAAUUUGCUUCCAGACAACAUGGUCUGUUUAUUGUGUAAUAAUCGAAAUGGCACUAAAUUGCCGUGAUUGCCGAACACUUAGGAAUUGUGUUAACCUCUUAAGUGCUAAGCGGUUUUCUGCCGUCUCCCCACUCAGAGGUGCAGCCCCAACGUGUUCGGUCCCUGGGCUCCCCUCGGUCAGUGUCAUGGGGGGAAGCAAAGCCCUCAAGGCCAAGUCCUGCCCUGGGAGCAGGCUGGACCAUGCCCGCGCCUCAUUAACCGAAAGAGAGUCCUGCCUGGCCUGUGGCGGAGACACGAAGCUGUCCCUGCCUGGGAUCCAAGAGGCUGGUUUGCCCAGUCUUGGUCCUCACACGGUCCCGCUUCUGUCCCCUGACUUCAACUGUGUUGUGUGUUUCCUGACAGUUGGUUUUAUAGCUCAGUUUGAGAAUCGAUUCUCCAAAGAGCAAAGAAAAGGAAGAACGGGCUUUUCUGCUGGGGCCGCCCCCUUUGAGAAGCUGCUGCUCGUCAGCUGGGUCCCUGCUGCCCUGCAGGAAGCCAGGUGGCUGUGGCCUUGGCGUCCCUGGGCCCUGGUCGCCGCCGCCGCCAGCUCUGUCCGCACUGCUCCUCCUGCAAGCGGCAGGCCCGGGAAGGAAGAGUUAACCAGAAAUGGAGCGGCGCUGCUCCGGGGCAGGCAGCCUCGCCGCAGAACAGAGCAGCGUUCGUGCAAAGGCAAGUCAUUUCCCGAAACACUGCAGACACACGGCCUCAGGCAGCCUAAAACCUUUGGAGACCAAAAUGGCUCGCAGGGGUUGGAAGUAAUAAGGUGUUUUUCCCUUCUUUCUCCUUCACUGAAAUUCUGCGAGGUUGCUCUGCAUGGCUGGGGAACAAUGGUGCUGUUUUUGUGUUUUCUGUGGGUAUUAAGAUCCAUUACGCGGUGACAUUUUUAAGAUUGGUUAGCCUGUAGUUUGGUGUUAAAUUGAAGUUGUUUGUUUUGAAUUUAAUUCUUUCAUUUUUCAAAUGGAAGAAGGCAACUCUGCGGUGCAGUGAGGCUGGCUCACUGAAGUGUGCCCGGACUCGUUCUGGGGCAGAUCUUUGCCACCCCCGGACCUCGGCGGCAUCCGCCACGAAAGAAGAUGACCUAUUUCUCUCUUGGAAGGUCUGUAAGAAUCCCUGGAGACGACUUUGAAAACUAGGAACUAGGGGUCGUCUCCAUUGUGUCUCGAGAGAAACACGAUCUGAGCUGGUUUUUAAGAGAAUGUUAUACAUCCAAUCUGUUAUGCCUAAUGCAGCCUGCAUAUAAUUAUUACUAUUCCCUGUUUACGACAGCAGCAAAAUCAGCUUCCAUCCACCAAAUGACCCAGCAGCAGUGGGCCAGCCGCCUCUGAAAUGACAUCUGUUAACUCUUUGUCAAAUGCCCUCUCGUUGUCCCUUUCUCCCAAACAGCUCUGUGGUUAAUUAUGACCUGAGCAUAUGACACAGUCUUUUGAGUGGAGAGAACUGCUUAGGGGCAAGAAGAAAUCUAGCUCCAAGAAAUUCCCUUCUCUCUCCCUUGGAGAAAAAAAAAAAAAUAAAAAA
rnacentral:lncRNA from 1 species